rnacentral:misc_RNA from 1 species
CAUCUGCAAUUAUAUAUAUAAAGAGGCAGAUGGCAGCAUCGUAAAUAUUAAGACACACGUACAGGAAUUAACUAGAAAUACUCUAACUAGAAAUCAGGAUAAACUGAUUCACUGAUAAACUCCAUAGCAAAUUAUAAUGUUCUAAUUAUCGUUUGAGAUCAACAAACAUAUUCCCCAUCAUAAUCAUUUCCAUUUGAUUCAGGCACACAGGCUUUUGAAACAUUUUCUUGUCUUUACUCGUGAUAAAUUAAAAAACGUACUGGACAAGCAAUAUUUAAACAAUAAUCUUCCAGGCAUAAUAAUUCAUUCGAUGCAGUGCAGUAAUUCGCAAGGGACAUUUGGUUCUCAGUAGAAUGGCAAACGGUGUGUUCAUUGAACACACACUCGGUACUGUUUCGGCAUUACCGUAUAAAUACAGUGAAUACAAAAUGUUUGGUGGCCUCUGCAGCCAUUAAAAAACAGAAAAUCAGGUAUGUGAGUUUUAAAAAACCAUAUCUUCAAGAAGCCCCUCUCCUACAACA